CUGCCCGUGCUGCAGGCGCUCCGACUCAGGCCCCAUCGUGGGGUAUGAGGGGGACGGGGUCCCUGCAGGCCGGGAGACGCAGCGAGGAGGCGCAGGCGGCCCGGAGCUCGGAGCUCGUCUCAGGCACCCCUUCUCGAGCCAGGGUCCGGGAGCGCGGGCAGCUGGAGGGCCCGGGGCGGGGCGGGGCGGGGCCGGGCGUGUUGGGGCGGGACCAAGCAUCGAGGGGCGGGACCAAGCAUCGAGGGGCGGGGCCGGGCGUGCCGGGGGCGGGGCCGGCGGCGCUGUCCGGUGCUGAAGCCACGGCAGCGCCGGGAGCGCGGGGAGGAGCGGCCGCCAUGGACUGAGUGCCGCCGACAUGGGGCCGCCGCUCGCGCUCCUGCUGCUGCUGCUGCUGCCGCGCGCCCCGCCCGUCGCCCCCGCGCCCGCGCCCGCGCCCCGCACCCGGCCGCUCCCGGGGCUGCUCGGUGAGUGGGGUCGGGGUCGGGGUCGCGGUGGGGGAGGGGCGCCGUGUGGCUGAGGGGAGCGGGGAAGGGGCGCCUGACUGGGCGCGGGCGCGCUUCUGGGGGAGGGGUGGGGAGGGCUGGGGAAGAGGUGUGGGGGCGGGGGAGCGCCCAGCGAGCGGCGCGGGGUCGCGGGCGCAGCGGCGGGCGCGCGCUCUGCGGGGGCGCCCGCGCGUGUCCGCGCCGCGUGUCCCCCCCGCGCGGCCUCCCCCGCGCCUCGCGGUCGCGCGGGCGUCCCCCCGAGGGGAGUGGGGGGCAGCGGGGCGCGGGGAGGGCCAGGCCGCCGCCUCGCGGCCUGCGACGCGCGCCCGCCUUGCUGUUGAGGAGGGUCGGUAGAGGAGGGUCGGUUGAGGAGGGUCAGCUGAGGUGGGUCCGCGGGCGCCGGCCCCGGGCCCCUGAGGUGAGAGGAGCGCUUGUCGCGGGGCUGCGGGCAGAGCCGGCCCGGGCCUCGCCCCGCCGCCCCCCGGGCGCCGCCGUCCCAGAGACCGGGGACGGCCGACACAGGUGGGCACGGCCGCCGCAGGUCCCGGGCCCCCAGCGCCGCCCUGGCUUUCCUGGCGCACACGCAGCCCCGGCCUGCGGACAGCGAGCACGGGGAAGGCCAGCGCCACCCGGGAAGAGGUCCUCGCCCGCCCGGGGAGGUCCUGAGGGGAACAACGCGUCUGGUCCUCGCACCUGGCGUCCCCGUCGUCCAGCCACUUCCCCCGGAGCCACCGCGCGCCCAGGCUGCCUGUUUGAAGAUGGCCUCUGCAGACCUGCUGAGACCUGUGUGAACGGUAAGUGCCAGCCCAUGGUGACUCCAAGGCUGGCUUCACUACACGCAGGGGGGUCCUGGGUGGGCUCAUGUUUGAUUCUUCCGAGCGCGUGCAGAC
rnacentral:lncRNA from 1 species